rfam:Schistosoma curassoni strain Dakar, Senegal genome assembly, scaffold: SCTD_scaffold0002173
AUCCAGCUGAGGAGUCUUAAAUAGGACGACACGCGCAUCAAACUGGAU